rnacentral:rRNA from 1 species
UACAGAGGUCCCAAGCGUUGUUCGGAUUCAUUGGGCGUAAAGGGUGUGUAGGUGGCGCCGUAAGUCGGGUGUGAAAUUUCGAGGCUUAACCUCGAAACUGCAUUCGAUACUGCGGUGCUUGAGGACUGGAGAGGAGACUGGAAUUCAUGGUGUAGCAGUGAAAUGCGUAGAGAUCGUGAGGAAGACCAGUGGCGAAGGCGGGUCUCUGGACAGUUCCUGACACUGAGACACGAAGGCCAGGGGAGCAAACGGG